GGUGAGGUUCAGGAGUGGUUUAACUGGCAGACCUGGAAAGUCUGUGUAGUCGCAAGGCUACCGUGGGUUCGAAUCCCACCCUCACCG
rnacentral:tRNA from 1 species